CAUAGAAAUAUCAACGCUGUUUGCACUAUAAUUUACUUUUUGAGCUUCUGACAUUUACCCAGCUGACUGUCUUUGGAGAACAAUCUCUUGACUGAGAAGCACUCUAGCAUAAACUUGUACGCCAGUGUUCCUUCUUCAAAAUAUUAUAUAUUUGAUACUUGAGCUCAUAAUGUUUGCUAAAAAGGAUUUCCCUUUCCGUGAAAGUCAACAUAAGUUCUGGAAUGAAUGGCAUGGGGGCCAUGUGGCUUUAAUCUCUGUGUGCGGAGCUCCAAGCUAAGGGACUGGCACAGCACACCAAAUAGGUUACAGAAGAUUUGCAGAGAAAAUGCAAGCUAUAUUUUUUUUCUUCUACAUAUCCAGAAGGUGCCGUUUUAUCUCAAAUUUGGGAAGACAUUGACAAUCAUUCCUCUGCUCACAUCAUAUGAUAAUGGAAGGUGGAAAGUGUGAAUCUGCAUUUAAAUGGAAAGAUGAAUCCUAAUUCAGAUUUCAGCUACUGGAAUCAACAAAAAGAAAUCAGGUGUUGAAAAACUGUCUUUAAACUUGUAUUGAAUUAUAAAUAUGUGAAGCUGUAGAUCUAAUCAAAUGCAUCAGAUUAAUUCUCUCAAUGAAAUUUCUAGCCCAUCUCUAAUUUAGUCACCAAAUACCUGGUCCCAAG
rnacentral:lncRNA from 1 species